rnacentral:lncRNA from 1 species
UAUAUCAUAAAUGAUAUUAUAGUGUUCCUGAGCUUUGGAUAGGAUUGGCUUCAGUAUUAGCGACUGGUCGACAUCUCUGGAGAGUGUCGGACUGAGUCGGAGUCAAUUUUGCAUGAAUUUGAUGCAGAAUUAGACUCGGCGCACUCAAAUAAGCAAAACUGGAGUUUUGCCAGAUUCGGGCUGUGAGAUCCCUGGUGUCUGGCUGUGGGGGCUUGUCGACAGCUCUGGAGAGUGUCGGGACAAGCCCGAGUCGCGUUUGCGUCAAAUAGACGCAAAACGGACUCCGUUGGACGCGAGAGUAGCCUUCAGCGAAGAAAUCUGCGAAAUAGCAGAUUUUCCUGCUGGCUGUACCGGUACAGCCAGCGAGGUGUACCGGUACGCUAUACUGGCUGAGCGCGUACUGCUCUCGGGUUAGCUUUCUGUACCGGUACGCGAUUCCGUGUACCGGUACACCAGAGUAGGUGAGGGGCUUUUUAGUAUUUUUACCUUGCCUCGUUUGUAUCUCCUUCACUCCCCUCUAUAUAGUUCCGUGUAAGGAGAGAGAGAGAGGCCUUCUUGCUGCAAUUCUCCAUCUUUCUCACUCUCCCAUCCGGUUGAAGGCAAGAGGAAGCUCGGAUUCGUCGCCGACGUCGCGCCGCAGAGCCGUUCGGGCAUACUUCCGUCGUCGUGUUGCUGCGAGCAGGCCGGGUGAGCGGAGGUUUUCGCCGUUUUUCUGUCGCAGCGGUGCCCGGUGUUGUCGAGGUGAGUAUUUCAGCAUUUCCCUGGAUUUUGGGCAAGUUUUUACUAUUUCGACUCGGUAAAUUGUUGUUUGCUGAAAUCCACCGUCGGCUGUUAGUAUUUCGGCUCGUUCUCCGCGUAGGAGCGUCGGAUCGCGACGAAACUUGGUUCAUUGGAUUCUAGACUGCGAGAGGAUUCCACGGAGCCCUCACUUGCAAUUUUUGGACGAGGUUAGCUUGGUCGAAACUUGGUCUCUUUCAGCUGCUGUGAACUUAGGCUGAUUUGUGAUGUUUUGGUCGUUUUAACUCGGCGACCGGUCUAGGUGGUCCCUGAGGAAUCCAGCAGCAUCGCGGGUGGCCGAGGCUGAGUUCGCUGCCAGGAAAUUGCACUUGAGGUGGGUUACAUCGGCUUUACUCCUAAGUUCUUAUUGGUCGACAUGUAUAGAUCGUGAUUUCGGAAGUAAUGUUAGCUCAAAUUCAUGGAUUAUUGUUAGAAAGGUAAUAUCUGAAUUUUCGAGCAUAUUUUAUCAAGUAAAUAGAUUAUACAUGUUGGACUUGGAAAUUGAAUUAGGAGAAAACCUGCGAUUUGGACCUGUCACCAGUUUUAACUACCUGAUUUAGCUCUAGGAGCCGUUAGAAAAUUGUACUGUCGCAGUUUCUUCGAGACGAGUACUCCAGGUAGUUUAGAAUGUAUUUACACUCGUGUUGGUUCGCCGAGUGGAUUUUUACAGGGUCGUUCAGGUCGUUCCGGACUGUUGGGUGCCGUCAGAGUUGACGGUGGACCCGUAUCGCCUUUUUGGCGUCAGAUUGUGCCGAGGGCACGUUACCUGUUGGUUGUUAGACCAGUUUGAGUCGAUUACUUGACUUUGGCUAGUUGGAGCCUGAUUAAGCUCGACAGAGAUACGCUGCAUACUCGGUUGGGUAGCGCCCACGAGUGCCACUCCGGAGUCAGGCUUGUGUUUUUGCGUUGGUGUCGCUCAUGCCAGUUGGACUUGCUCUCCACGGACCAGUUAGAGUGGAUAGAGCCCGAUAGUCGCAACGGGGCAGGGACGGGUGUAUUCACAGUCCCGGGGACGGGUAUGCUUACAGUCCCGACUUGGAUUGGGUCAGAUUUGACAUUUUCUACAGUUGGUUAGUGUAGAGCAUGAUAGUGUAGUGGAUGAUAGCGGUAGAGUAUGCUUCCUGCUUUCCUUCUAUCCUUGCUCCCUUCUGUAGACUUAGUGGGUGACCGAUGUUGUUUUGGGCGGUACCCACUGAGGACUACUUGUUUUUACAGUAGUUCUCACGCCCAGUUGUUACCUAUGUUUUUGCAGAGCCACAGGUUUCGGCUGCUGCACCGUCUGCGGACCAGGAUCGAGGCAAGGGCGUCGCGAGUUAGAGCCCUACCCGACGUGCUGAUCUAGAGGUGCCCUACUGCAGGUAGAUGUUUUGUUUCGAGUUUGUGUACAUAGUUGACUUAACUCGCCAGUGCGAGUAGCUCUGUAUUUUGGACCUGAACUAUGUAAUGAAACUCUGUUUUAUUUAGCUUCUGUUUUCUCUAGCAGCUCUCUACUACUGUUCGUAGUAGUGUUUGAUUUACAGGUACAGCUAUCGCUUCGUAUACAGGGA